GCAGUGAUGCUCAACGGCGUUGACAUGCGGUACUUAAUGAGAAGUUGCCCGCGUUUUUUUCGCUUUAUUUGUGACGAAACAUUCGCGGUGCACUUCUUUUUCAGUAUCCUAUUCUGCCUUCAA
ensembl:miRNA